GUGAGAGAAUCUGGACAGUUGGAAAGGACUUCUCUCUUGGUGGAAAGCUCACCAGAAAGGUGGCCCAGAGUAGGUCUCUGAGGUGGCACCAUUGUAAAGAUGAGAUUGCAACACAAAAGAGAUUUGCAAGAAAAAAACAAGAGAGUUGGAAUUUGGUGAACCACCAAUCAACCAGGUGGAGACAAGAUUCCAAUAGAAUCUUGGCCAGGGGACAGUUGGGAAGCCUAGCAGCUUGAACUAACUUGUGCUUUCCUCUGACUGUUGGAAGGAAGCAGGAAAACCAAUUCCUUUCUUGGUCAAUGAUUAUUUAUCUGACUGAGUAAUAAGAAGAUUUGGAGCUUAGCUCUGAAGAAUCUCUGUUAGCUUUUGCUAUCAAUAUCUCCCUAUAAAGAAAAUAACCUUAUUUUCUGAAUUGAACACAUUGUGAAAAUCUUCAAUCAACAGGAAAUCAUAGGAAGCAAUGGGGAGCUACAGAAGACUUUUGAGCAGGGCAGGCAUAUAAGGAGACCCAUCUCUUAGCCAAUUUGAAAUCAGUGGAGAGGAAGGUCUACAAAAGGGCAGAGAUUCUACACAGGGAAAGCAGUUUGGAAGUGCCUUUCUUCUUAAAGCUCUGUAUAUCUCUCUGAGCCCAUGCCAGAGAAGUGAAAGGCAGAGCACUACGUGGUUUUAUACAUACCACUCAGUCAGCAUAACUGCCUCCCUUUGGGUCCUUAUGGAUGAAGCAUAAGGCUUGAUUACUUUCAGGCAAGUCAAGUCUAGCUGCAGGUGUUACUGGUGGAAGAUUUAGUCACGGAAGACUCAACACAAAGGCUGAAUCUGAAAUAUCCCAAAAGAAAAAAAAAAUCUAGGUACACAACCUCCCCUCACUGAAAAUAACUAUACUAUUAAUUAAAAAACAAAAAUGAAAUCUUUAUCCA